rnacentral:sRNA from 1 species
UGAAGUGAAAUUUGAAAAAAUAAUUUCUCGAACAUACAAAUACAUAAAAUCAUUGCCUAGUAACAUAAUAACAAAGAACGAUACAAGUAGAUAUUAAUUUGUUAAACAUAUACUUCAACAAUAUCAACUCUCGAAAAAUAGAACUUCUACCGAAAUUAUUGUGGAGGGACUCACUUAAGGAUCAAUAUCAGAGAAACGUAACUAAGAAUUUGUACGGGGUUUAAGGGGAAGACAUACACAUAGUGCAAAAAAUGAUAUCUAAAUUGGAGGACAACUGUGCAAAAUGGAAUCUGAUAGUCAAAACAGACGAAUCAAAAAUUAUGAUAUUCAAAAAAGGUGGAAGACAUUCUGGGCAAGAUAGGUGGACAUACCGUGGAGAAGAAAUUGAAAUAUGUUCUCAAUACAACUAACGAGGCAUUAUUUUAAUAUCACAAAUGAAGUUUCUAUUGAACAUACAGAAUAGAAAUGAGCAAGCAAAGGCUGCUAUAAAUAUUA